rnacentral:rRNA from 1 species
AUUGAACGCUGGCGGCAGGCCUAACACAUGCAAGUCGAACGAGUGGCGGACGGGUUAGUUAUGUCUGUGAAACUGCCCGAUGGAUGGGGAUAACUACUGGAAACUGUAGCUAAUACCGCAUACCAUCAGAUGUGCCCAGAUGGGAUUAGCUUGUUGGGGGGGUACCGGCUCACCAAGGCGACUAUCUCUAUCUGGUCUGAGAGGAUGACCAGCCACACUGGAACUGAGACACGGCCCAGACGCCUACGGGAGGCAGCAGUGGGGAAUAUUGGACAAUGGGCGAAAGCCUGAUGCAGCCAUGCCGCGUGUAUGAAGAAGGCCUUCGGGUUGUAAAGGACUUUCAGCGGGGAGGCGUUACCCGCAGAAGAAGCACCGGCUAACUCCGUGCCAGCCGCCGCGGUAAUAC